AAGACCUUAGUUAAGCACAAUAACACUAUUUUGUCAAAAUAGAAUCAUUUAUAAAAUAGGUUUUA
rnacentral:tRNA from 1 species